ACCCUCUUAGGAUCACACCUGGAGAGUUUCUAAUACUCUACUAGUCUCGGCUAUGGGAGGGACAGUCAAGCAGAGGCCUAUCCAUUCCAUUCCUAUCUUGGGCAGUGUCUGUCAAGUGGAAGACAAUCUGCUACAAAU
rnacentral:snoRNA from 1 species